AUUGGAGGAAAGUAGGGGAUCGGUGCGCAGGGUAAUGGUGGAGGAAAGCAGGGGAUCGCAAGACCUUGCGCUUUUGGAGCGGCCGAUGUCUGAUUAGCUAGUUGGUGAGGUAAAGGCUCACCAAGGCUUCGAUCAGUAGCUGGUCUGAGAGGACGACCAGCCACACUGGGACUGAGACACGGCCCAGACUCCUACGGGAGGCAGCAGUGGGGAAUUUUGGACAAUGGGGGAAACCCUGAUCCAGCCAUGCCGCGUGAGUGAAGAAGGCCUUCGGGUUGUAAAGCUCUUUCAGCCGGAACGAAACGGUCACGGCUAAUACCCGUGAUCACUGACGGUACCGGAAGAAGAAGCACCGGCUAACUACGUGCCAGCAGCCGCGGUAAUACGUAGGGUGCAAGCGUUAAUCGGAAUUACUGGGCGUAAAGCGUGCGCAGGCGGUUUUGUAAGUCAGAUGUGAAAUCCCCGGGCUCAACCUGGGAACUGCGUUUGAAACUACAAGGCUAGAAU
rnacentral:rRNA from 1 species